rnacentral:rRNA from 1 species
UACGAAGGGUGCAAGCGUUACUCGGAAUUACUGGGCGUAAAGCGUGCGCAGGCGGUUUGUUAAGACAGAUGUGAAAUCCCCGGGCUUAACCUGGGAACUGCAUCUGUGACUGGCAAGCUAGAGUAUGGCAGAGGGGGGUAGAAUUCCACGUGUAGCAGUGAAAUGCGUAGAGAUGUGGAGGAAUACCGAUGGCGAAGGCAGCCCCCUGGGCCAAUACUGACGCUCAUGCACGAAAGCGUGGGGAGCAAACAGG